rnacentral:SRP_RNA from 1 species
UGUUGGUUCUCCCGCAACGCUACUCUGUUUACCAGGUCAGGUCCGGAAGGAAGCAGCCAAGGCAGAUGACGCGUGU